CCCUUAGAUGUUCUGGGCCGCACGCGCGCUACACUGACGACUUCAACGAGUUUUUUUCAUUUGAAAAAGUCCUUGGCCGGAAGGUCUGGGUAAUCUUUUAAAAGGUCGUCGUGAUGGGGCUAGAUUCUUGCAAUUAUUAAUCUCCAACGAGGAAUUCCUAGUAAACGCAAGUCAUCAACUUGCAUUGAUUACGUCCCUGCCCUUUGUACACACCGCCCGUCGCUCCUACCGAUUGAGUGGUCCGGUGAGGCUUUGGGAUCUGAGCGGAAAGAGCGUUUCGCUGUUUCUGCCCGGAAAACUCAGUCGAACCUUAUCAUUUAGAGGAAGGAGAAGUCGUAACA
rnacentral:rRNA from 1 species